rnacentral:rRNA from 1 species
AAUAUUGCACAAUGGGGGAAACCCUGAUGCAGCGACGCCGCGUGAGUGAAGAAGUAUUUCGGUAUGUAAAGCUCUAUCAGCAGGGAAGAAAAUGACGGUACCUGACUAAGAAGCCCCGGCUAACUACGUGCCAGGAGCCGGGGUAAUACGUAGGGGGCAAGCGUUAUCCGGAUUUACUGGGUGUAAAGGGAGCGUAGGUGGUGUGGUAAGUCAGAUGUGAAAGCCCGGGGCUCAACCCCGGGACUGCAUUUGAAACUGGUAUGCUAGAGUGCAGGAGAGGUAAGUGGAAUUCCUAGUGUAGCGGUGAAAUGCGUAGAUAUUAGGAGGAACACCAGUGGCGAAGGCGGCUUACUGGACUGUAACUGACACUGAGGCUCAAAAGCGUAGGGAGCAAAC